UCUAGAACUCGAGAUAUAGGUUGAACACUGAACAGUGUCUAGGCUGCAUGACAGAUUCUGACUUCUCCGUUGUUGCUACAAUUUGAACUUGAAAACGGCCUUUCUGAAUCUUGGACUCUUCAUGAAAGUUUUAGGCCUAUCUCUUAGCUUUCCAUC
rfam:Populus trichocarpa scaffold_10_contig_199, whole genome shotgun sequence.